AUUGAUUGAAGAGCCAAAAUGAGAUGUGGCAGAUGUAGAAGAAGCUGAAGAAAAUCUGGAGCACAAAAUCAUUUGCAGCAUGUGGGGGAUCCCAGGAGGGUGGAAGGUCAGAGGGAACAUUAAAUCAGCAUGCUGUCAAUUGGGAAUGUGUUUUAUUGUGGGAUAUGCAUCUUUCCAAAACCAGCAUCAAUGGGCACCUUUAAAAUACUGAAGAGGAUGAUAACAUUCAAAUAUGAUGUUUUAAUCACACUUUGGUUCCUGAGUGAAAAUAAUAAUGGUUGAAGCAAUAAUAGUAAUUAAAAUAAAUAUAACUGUGUAUCAUUCUUGCUAUUAUUUAUGCUUUUCAGAAAGUUUUAUGGCUCAGCAGAAAAGGAAGAUUUUUCAGGCCUUCAUUAAUAGGACUAUUACAUCCCAGUGACUGUAGCAAACCACUUCACAAAUCUAAAGUGUUGAAAAUAACUUGAGCUUUCUGCAGAACACCCCGUACUUUAGGUCUCUGCUGUCUCCUGCAACUCAAAUUUGCAUUGUACUCAACAGAUAAACACCAUUAUUAGGCUAGGCAUUUAGGCAAUGAGAUGCAGUCAGUUUCAUUUCAUGCCAAGUUUCAGUCGGCAUCUCACUGUUUCAAUAAGUAGCUUCUUAAUGUGAUGUUAAAUCCCUGCUUUUCUCCAAAUCUCUCUCUCUGGAAUGUGGCUGAUUUGGCAGACCUUGCAUAAACACAUGGAAAAACAGCAGCAAGUAAGUAACAUGGGUAAUCUCUGCACUGCAUUUGAACUUUGUGUUAGUUGGCCUAUUUUAGCCUUGGAUAAAAGCUUUUCUUCCAGCUCUACAGCAUGAGGACAUCCACUGGGUCCCCUGGAGCUGCAGACUACUCCUUGCCACUGCUGGUGGGGCCAGCCCCUGAGAUCUGGGCUUUGCUCUCACACACGCUUUCACUAUCAUCUGAGACAUAUUGUGCAGGCAAAACCAGACUGCCCCAGAGUGCAGAGGAUCACCCGGAGCGGAGGCAACCAGGAUACGUGCCUUGGUCUGGAAGGUGUGGGGGUGUUCCUGUGCUCCCAGCAAAGACAGGGGCAGGAGAGCCUGCAUCUCUGUGUGACUCUCUCCCUCAGCAGCAGGAUGAAGAUGAAGAUUUCCUUUUGCUGUCAUGUCAGACAAGAGGGGAAGAUGGCUGAAGGAGUUUGGUUUCUGGCUUAGAUUCUCUAACACCGUUCAAGACAACACACCCUUCCCAGGGGAAGAUGGCUGAAGGAGUUUGGUUUCUGGCUUAGAUUCUUCAACACCCUUCAAGACAACACACCCUUCCCAGUAUGCAGAGGGUUCCAAAGCGCAGAGUCCUGCAGUCUUCCUUCACCAGAGUUGGUGUCUACUGCUGCUGUCCAAGGAGAGCCUGAGACAGGAAGUUCACCAUGACAUGAGAGCACCCAGUGGAGCAGUUCAGCAACAGGAAUGAAAAGGUAAGGAAAAGCAGACCUUUUACCAUCUGUUACAGGUAUUAGCAAUUAGCUGUGGGUCAGAACCCCCAGACAGUUGAACACAUUCCUCCAUCCAAGGCUAUUAAUGCAGAAAUAGGCAUACAACCUCUGGCUCAGGAAAUUUUGACUGAGCAGACUGCAUAACCCCUGGCCACAUGUCAGGAAAGGGAUUACUUGCUUUACCCACUGCUUUUCUACUUCUCCUAUGCACUUGUGAAAUGAAUUCUUCCCCAUAAAGCAGGUGUGUGGCUUGGGCAACCUCUCUCUGCUCACCUGCACAGUUCACAGGUUCCCUAAGCAGAGGUUAACAAGUAUACGUGGGAGAUGACUUGCAUUACUUCUUAAUCCAGGCUUGUCCUGGAAUUAACUGUGGCCUAGGCAACAAAUGAAACAAACAAGAAUUUGCAGCUUAAGAGCUUUCCUAUCGGUGAAUUCUCCUCCUCCU